UACGGAGGGUGCAAGCGUUAUCCGGAUUCACUGGGUUUAAAGGGUGCGUAGGUGGGUUGGUAAGUCAGUGGUGAAAUCCCCGAGCUUAACUUGGGAACUGCCAUUGAUACUAUCAAUCUUGAAUAUUGUGGAGGUUAGCGGAAUAUGUCAUGUAGCGGUGAAAUGCUUAGAUAUGACAUAGAACACCAAUUGCGAAGGCAGCUGGCUACGCAUAUAUUGACACUGAGGCACGAAAGCGUGGGGAUCAAACAGG
rnacentral:rRNA from 1 species